rnacentral:lncRNA from 1 species
UCCCUGGCGGCCUCAGCCGGCAUCGAAUCACCGCGGUUCCCAGAGGGCGUGAGGGGCUGGCGUGGACACACCGGGAAUGGACCGUACCCUUUUUCAAAAGGAACUCAUGAUGUAUACAAAUAGAAUGCUCUUCCCCUUCUUUGCUGGCCAAUUCCUACUCAUCUGUUAAAACCAAGCUUAGAGAUUACCUCUUUGAUGACAUCUCUACCAAGUCUGAUUGAGAACAUCUCUGUGAGCACAUAGUAUUCUAACAUCUCUAUCAUCAUACCAUGAAAUCAUCAGGCUAUCAGUUCUUUGAAUGAUGACCACAUGCCUAUCUUUUGGACACCAUCACCAACAGGGAAGAUGUGUGAAGGGCCCAUGGGUGCAGCAAGAGGAGUGAUCCCAUUCCUGCAUGCCUCAUUUGGCAUGACUUAAGACAAACAUUGAGGGAGCAUUGCAUCACUACAUCAGUCAGAAGCAAAAGGACAUCAGUUGGAAAGGGCCCUUUGGCACUGUGUAGCAACAAUCCCAAAAUCAUUGGACUACCCAGGGAGGACUGCCUGACACCUAUCAUGGAAUCUUCUGCCGGGGUGGGGUAACUACCCUGGGUGCGAGUGAUGGGGCAGAAAGGAGAUGGCAUGCAGUCAUACACAGAAUAAAAGAUGUCUGCUACCACUCUGUAGUCUUCAGGUGCUGUGGACCACCAGCAGUUCCACAGUCAGAACACUGACAAAGGAAGGCCAGCACAAGGUCCCCAACACAUGGCUCAUGACCAAGGGUUGGUAGAGGACUGUCGAUAGCCCAGAGACCUGAACUCAUCUUGUGUUUGACCCCAAAUAAGCAUGUCAACACUAUUCUGGAGACCCAAUUUCACACUAUUUUAUGAAAGAACUGUGCUAGCCAGCAAGAGUGACUGACUGACUU